rfam:Triticum aestivum genome assembly, contig: Triticum_aestivum_CS42_TGACv1_scaffold_527435_6DL
UCAAUACUCUCUCCGUUUCAAAAUACUUGACUUUCAUUUGUCUAAAAAUAAAUGUACCUACAUACUAAAACAUGUUUAGAUACAUUUAUAUUUUGACAAAUGGAAGGCAUGUAUUGUGAAAUAGAGGGAGUACAAA